CAACCCUACGGGGCGCAGCAGUGAGGAAUAUUGGUCAAUGGGCGGGAGCCUGAACCAGCCAAGUCGCGUGAAGGAAGAAGGUACUUAGUAUUGUAAACUUCUUUUGUCGGGGAACAAAGGCGGAGACGCGUCUCCGGAUGAGUGUACCCGAAGAAAAAGCAUCGGCUAACUCCGUGCCAGCAGCCGCGGUAAUACGGAGGAUGCGAGCGUUAUCCGGAUUUACUGGGUGUAAAGGGAGCGUAGACGGCCAGACAAGUCUGAAGUGAAAAUCCAGCGCUUAACGUUGGAAGUGCUUUGGAAACUGC
rnacentral:rRNA from 1 species